AUGAACGCUGGCGGCGCAUUUAAGACAUGCAAGUCGAACGAAAAUACUUCAAUUAAAACGGAAGAAAGAUUUAUCUUUAAGAAGUUUUGCCCGAAGUGUUUUAGUGGCGGACGGGUGAGUAAUGCAUAGAUAAUCUGCCUUUUAGAGAGAAAUAACAGGAAGAAAUUCCUGCUAAUGUCACAUAAGACCACACUACCGCAUGAUAGAGAGGUCAAAGGGGAAACCCGCUAGAAGAUGAGUCUAUGUCUGAUUAGCUAGUUGGUAAGGUAAGAGCUAACCAAGGCGAUGAUCAGUAGCCGAGCUGAGAGGCUGGCCGGCCACAUUGGGACUGAGACACGGCCCAGACUCCUACGGGAGGCAGCAGUUGGGAAUAUUGGACAAUGGAGGAAACUCUGAUCCAGUGACGCCGCGUGAAGGAAGAAGGUCUUCGGAUUGUAAACUUAUUUUAUCAGGGAAGAAACAAAUGACUGUACCUGAAGAAGAAGGACCGGCUAACUACGUG
rnacentral:rRNA from 1 species